GGCAUGACUAAGCAUUGCAUUACUGUGGAAGAGUAGAGCAGAUGUGAAGGGGAUGCUCAGCCAGUUCUUUCCUUCAUGACUGAUCUCCAUGGACUAUAUCACUUGAUUCCCUCCCUCCUCUGUUUUCCACUUAUAUUCAGGGGUUGGGAAGUACCAGCAGGAAACCAGAGGGCAAGAGAACAGGAUGACCCGAGGUGACCCCCGUAUGGAACACUGAAGGGACAUGGGCAACAGAAAUGGAGAGAAACUCUUUCUCCCUGGCAGGAAGACUGGAAAAAAGGGGCUCCUGACUUUCAGAAAAAAAUGGGAGGAGUCCACAAUUGUUUUCUUGCUAAUUUUUUCUUGUCUCCUUUGUCCUGCCCUAAGAGAAGUCUCAGUUACAGAGUGACACUGUAGAGAACAGGCACCUGAAACUCAAAGAGAAAAUUCACAUUCAUGGCCAAAAGAACUAAGAAAGGAGGCUCUAACCUAUGACCCAGAAGGGGUGAGGGGAAUCCCCAUUAUUUUUCCUGCUAUUUUCUAGUUGCUUUGACCUGAAGAAAGUGUCCAGCAGAAAUGUGUAACAGCAGAGCAGCCAAAGCUCCAAACGAAAGAAAUCCUGGUUGUCUCAGCAAAGGACCGAGAACCCGGCCUUCUGAAUGUGGAGAGUCAGGAAGAAAGCUCAAAGUGAGAGAACCAAAGAAGGGAGUUCCCCAAUUCUGCAUCUGAACUCACACCAAUCCCAGCCUCUUCUUGGGUCACAGAACAGGAACCCAAAGCAGAACAGAAAAGGCUUAUGUGUCAGAAAGGAAAAACAGAACCAUCUCUACUAACAGAUGACACAAUUUUCCAUUUAAAAAAUCCUAAAACUAUAUAAAAACAUUCCUAGAACUAAUAAGUUUAAUAAAGUCACAGAGUAUAAGAUCAAGUUAUUUCUACAUAGUAGCAAUGAACACUUGGAACACAAAAUGUUGAAGAAAAAAAACCAGUCCCAUUUAAAAUAACAUUGAAAACUGGAAAACUUAGAUGUAAAUCAAGGAAACAUGUAUAGGAUCUGUAUGGUGAAAACUACAGAGGCUGAUGAAAUAGAUCAUGAAAGACCUAAGUAAAUGGAGAGAGAUACCAUGUUCAUAGAUGGAAGACUCAAAACUGUUAAGGUAUCGGUUCCAAGUGGAUCUAAAGAUUCAACAAAUUCUAAUCAAGGUGCCAGAGUAAUUUUUUAUAGAUAUCAACAAGCUUAUUCUAAGAUGCAUACGGAAAAACAAAAAAAAUAGAACAGUCAAAAUAGUUUUGAAGCAGAACAAAGUCAGGGAACUCCUACAACCCAAUUUUAAUACAUACUAUAAUGCUACAGUAAGAAAGGCAAUGUGAUGGGCUGGGGAUGUGGCUCAGGUAGUAGCGCCCUCGCCUGGCAUGCGUGCGGCCCGGGUUCGAUCCUCAGCACCACAUACAAACAAAGAUGCUGUACCCACCGAUAACUAACUAAAUAAUAAAUAUUAAAAAAUUUUUAAAAAAGAAAGGCAAUGUGGUAUUGAGUAAAAGAUAGAUGAAAAGAUCAAUUAGGGGGUCCAGAAAUGGACACAAGUAGAGCCAAACAUUUUUUUUUCUGGUAAUACUGGAUAUUGAAUACAGGGUGCUAUACCACUGAACUACAUCCCUUGCCCUUUGUAUUUUUAGUUUUGAGAUAGGGUCUCACUAAAAAUUUCCCAGGCUGGCCUUAAAUUUGUGAUCUUCCUGCCUCCUCCCCAGCAGGUAUAAUUGUAGGUGUUCACUAUUGCACCUGGUUUUGCCAACCCAUUCUUGAUGAAGGUGCAGAACCAAUUCAAUGGAAAAAAAUAAUAGUGUUUUCAACAAAUGUUACUAAAACAAUUAAAUAGUUAAAAGAAAAAAUAAAUAAAUAAGCUUUGACCUAAAUUCAAACUGAUAUAAUAAUUAAAUUAAAUUAAAUGGAUACAAACAUAAAGUAUAAAACUUUUAGGAAGAAAUAUUGACAAACUAGAGUUAGGUGAUGAGUACUUAGACAUGACAUAAAAAUCAUGCUCUAUACAUUCUUAAAAAGUAGUAAGUUUCAAAACCACUCUAAGAUUUCAUCUCACUCCAGUCAGAAUGGCACCUAUUAUGAAUACAAACAACAAUAAGUGUUGGUGUUGCUGGUGGGACUGCAAAU